CUCAGCCAUGUUGACUGUACUUUUGGCUUGAGGCUGUGGCUUUGUAAUCGUAAGACCGUGUCCUAAGUACUAGCCUACGACUUGCAAUUACACAAACGGAUAUGGGAGCGGUUCAAGCCACUUCCGCAGCCAAGAAGAUCGGACCCGGCCAAAGCCCUGACAUUCGGACCAAAAUGUGACAAUUUUUGUGUCACAAGAACACCAAGUCCCGGUGUUCUUAGCCACAGUUUGGGGUCUCACAAUCUGGGUUACGAAAUCUGCCUACAAAAAGGAUCUUUUUGAGCCAAUGACGAAGCAGUGGUUUGACAAUUGGCCCUAUUGUCUCAAUGUGACAGAGAAAGUUUGACCGGUACAUCCUCACUGUAUGUAAUGGGCACGUGGUGUGGUUUUUGAUGAAGUCUAUAGAGACACAGAAGAUGUGGCUUGUUAUGUUGUAACUUCAAACUUUUAAUCAAGUCAUUACAACUCGAUCACAAUGUCUCAAUUUACAAGCAAUACAAAAGAACUGUGAACUAAAGUAUUCCUUCAUUGUUGUUUUUCCUUUUCUAUAAUUUAUGAUUUGUAAAUUUUGCUGCAUGCAACUCAUUUAUAACUUUGUUGGUUAUUUUUUGUGCGGGUGAAAUUUCUGAAAUGUAAGAGCGUCAGGGUUUUAGUUUGAAAUUUGUUUGAAAUUGUAUUUUGUAUCAUGUAUAAAUAUUGAUGGUUAAAAUUGUAUGAAUUGCCCUUAUAGGGUGCAAGGGGCGUAUCUUAACCUACAAUGAAAAGAGGUUCAGGCACAUGAAGAAUUGCAAUGAUUCUCAUUGGUCAAUGGUUCCGUGGUUUCCGGGUAACGAUGGUAACCAUGGACAUGACGUCUCUGCUCAUGGCGCCAAAAAUGGCCGUUUAUCAAACAUGGGAUGCGGCUCUGGUUGACCUUAGCUUUAAUUUCUAAAUGAUUCAAGUCUUCCUCAUUUUUCGUUCUUUUACAUUCAUGCUUUUUAUGCUUUGAGAUUUUGUUUGUUUCAAAAAUUUCGUAUUCGCUAGAAAGUAAGAGUAUAAUAAGCACAGGAUAUACUGUUUUGUAUUUCAUUUGUGACAGAGCUUUUUUUUAAUUGUUUGUUUGUUUGUUUUGUAUGGUUUUUUUUCUCGAUGACGCAUUUUUCUUUAUUAAUUUAAACGGUUCAAGGUCAGUUUCUUCUUUUUCUUUUUUUGUGAAAAGCAGAAGAAAGGCAUGUAUUGACCUGAAUAAGGCCUUGGUUGGAAUCGCCAUCUCUUCUGCAAUUUGUUAUUUGAUAAUGAUGAGAUGCCUCGUCUGUAUAGCUUUCAUAUGCGUGUCUUUCUGUUCGUUUCCUUUGAUUUAGCUAUCAUUCCAGCAACGAGGGGCGUGAGACAGACAUGAUGUUGAGCCUGGUGCGGAAUUCACAUAACGGCGAUCCGUUAUCAAAUAAAAGACUGCAGUUUGAUACGGAGGAGCCCCUACUUCAAAAACACGUCGCAGAAUUUACGACUUUGUGACAGAAUUCGUACAUUUUUUUUAAGCCUCUCUGUUUUUCCACUGGGGAUAUAUAUACAUAUUUAUAGAUGGGCAAACUUGUGGCCAUCAUUUAUUUGGUCGUUCUGUGCCUAUCGUUCCGUUGAUCAUCCCCUAAUCUAUACAAACAUUACCGGAAAGAAUUAAAAUUAAAAAAAAUUAAAAAAUAAAACAUAUUGAAACUUUACCCGUACCUGGACCCAAGUGCACAGUUGGCCAAAAGUAGUCGAUGAAAAUAAGCAGAGAAGUUGAAGCGCGCCAAGUGGACGAUAACCUCAUAUCUGCUGUCUGGAUUCUCCAAGUAACAAAAGCCACCAAAUUGCCUCAUUCAUUUCACUCACAUUUCCCAGGAAGCGGACGUCUUGCUGACGUCAUUGUAAUUAUGCCUCUGACGUCACGAAAGUGGUUUGUUAAAAGAGUUCAUGUGCCGAGGUGAUUUUACGCGUCGUUAUGGUUGAGAUGUGUCUGGAGUUAAGUUCGUUUCCCCCUCCCGAGUCUGGGAAAAUAGAAGUUUGCACUUACAGUGCAUUUGGAGAAACAUUUAUUAAGUGGUGUGCAACUGACGAAAGUAAGCAAAGCAUUGCACUUAAUGGGGCGCAAUAAAGGCAGAGGAUCAAGCUAAUCUAUUUGAGGGAAAAUUAACUUUCUUGCCUUUGCAGUGUACGUUUGCUGUCUACACUUCGUUUGUAUUUUUUUGCGUAUAUUACAGCCAUCUUCGUUAAUGCAAUUGUAAGGUUAUUAAAGAAAACAGUUUUUAUGAACUGUUUGUAUAUGAAAA